rnacentral:lncRNA from 1 species
UGCGCAGGCGCAACAUUGAGGCCGCCGUUAGGAGGGCGGGACGGGGCCAAAAAGGUGAAUGGGGGCGGAGCUAAGGUCCGCUCGAGGAGGCGGGGUCAGAAUCACGGGGCGGGGCCGAAGUUUCCUGAGGCCGGAUGUAGGAGUCUUAAGCGGUGGGGGAUCCACGAACCUGGCGGGUGGUUUGCAGUGCGCAGGCGUAACACGAGGGGUCGCGCUAGGUUCGGAGUGGACUGUCCCUUCCCUGCACAGGAAAGAGAAAGGGGGAGUGGGUAGUAGCCACUCAAGGGGUGUGGUGGAAGCGGGAGGGGCGGGGCCAAAGUUUCCCUUGGCAGGAGGCGGAUGAGAGGCGGGGGCCAGGGGAGGGGCCCAGGACUCAAUGCUCCUGAUUAGGCAAGAGCCGGCAGCUGGUGGAGAGCUGAGUCCCUUUUCUAGAAGUAGAGUCCUACCUUUUCCUCCCCUCUCCCCUAGUGUAUCCUUUGCAGACCCUCGGACCUGGACACCGUUUGGUGCGCUUCUGUGGGCACAUUCCCCUACUGAUUCAUGCAUCUGUCAACUGAAGUAUCACGCCGCUGGUUGUAGGUUCCACAGCCACCUCCUCAGAGCCUCAUCACUCCUGUGCUUCCCCAGCUGCCUACCCAGUAAAAAGCUGAUGACAUUUUUGGAGGCCAGGGCGGAUCUGAGGCCCUUUCAGCUGUGCUCUCUUCCUGAAGCCAUCUGUCGUGUCAACUAGUCAUGGAUAAAGAAGCCUCUGAGGUCAGUCCCAGCCCACCUACAGUGACCAUCAAGAAGAAAGAUAAAUGUGCAAGAUCCGAAAAGUUCUCCAAAAAUGUUCUGAUCUUUUUACUGGGGAUGGAUUAAAUGGGUUUCACUAUCUUUUUCAGGCCCUUUCAGCUGUGCUCUCUUCCUGAAGCCAUCUGUCGUGUCAACUAGUCAUGGAUAAAGAAGCCUCUGAGGUCAGUCCCAGCCCACCUACAGUGACCAUCAAGAAGAAAGAUAAAUGUGCAAGAUCCGAAAAGUUCUCCAAAAAUGUUCUGAUCUUUUUACUGGGGAGGCAGCUGGGGAGGCACAGGAGUGACGUGGACCUGUCAAAGUGGCUGUGGAUGCUGACAUGAGCUGCCCCAGGGUGGAGCUGGCCAUGGCCAGAGUCCUAAAACCUACCUGCUCAUGCCUGUCUGUAACUUUAGAAAAAAAUAAAAACAAGUAACAAACUCCUCCCUUGUUUCACCUGUUAAAAUAAAAGGUGACUGUCACCCCUUUUGUCUUGAUACGUUUUUACGCCAGUACAGUUUUCCUGGGUUACACUGGAGAGGG